GGGACGAACGCUGGCGGCGUGCUUAACACAUGCAAGUCGAGCGGAAAGGCCCUUCGGGGUACUCGAGCGGCGAACGGGUGAGUAACACGUGAGUAACCUGCCCCUAGCUUCGGGAUAGCUCCGGGAAACCGGAAUUAAUACCGGAUAUGACCACGGCCGACAUCGGCCACGGUGGAAAGAUUCAUCGGCUAGGGAUGGGCUCGCGGCCUAUCAGCUUGUUGGUGGGGUAACAGCCUACCAAGGCGACGACGGGUA
rnacentral:rRNA from 1 species